rnacentral:rRNA from 1 species
UACGUAGGCAGCGAGCGUUGUUCGGAGUUACUGGGCGUAAAGGGUGUGUAGGCGGUUGUUUAAGUUUGGUGUGAAAUCUCCCGGCUCAACUAGGAGGGUGCGCCGAAUACUGAAUGACUUGGAGUGCGGGAGAGGAAAGUGGAAUUCCUGGUGUAGCGGUGAAAUGCGUAGAUAUCAGGAGGAACACCGGUGGUGUAGACGGCUUUCUGGACCGUAACUGACGCUGAGACACGAAAGCGUGGGUAGCAAACAGG